rnacentral:rRNA from 1 species
GACAGAGGGUGCAAACGUUGCUCGGAAUCAUUGGGCGUAAAGCGCACGUAGGCGGGUUUUUAAGUCAGGGGUGAAAUCCUGGAGCUCAACUUCAGAACUGCCUUUGAUACUGAAGAUCUCGAGUCCGGAAGAGGUGAGUGGAACUCCGAGUGUAGAGGUGAAAUUCGUAGAUAUUCGGAAGAACACCAGUGGCGAAGGCGGCUCACUGGUCCGGUACUGACGCUGAGGUGCGAAAGCGUGGGGAGCAAGCAGG